rnacentral:rRNA from 1 species
UAUGUGAUCGUCUCUCGCAUAUCAAUAAGCGGAGGAAAAGGAGUAUACCUACGCUUAGGAUGUUGACGAGACUGUCGAUCUCAUCUAUACAUGACUCUGUGCAUAUCAAUAAGCGGAGGAAAAGAAACUAACAAGGAUUCCCUAGUAACUGACGAGUGAAGCGGGAAGAGCUCAAAUUUGAAAUCUUAAAGGGUUUCCCUUUACGAAUUGUAGUUUAAAGAAGUGUUUUCUGUUGAGGUUUUGGUAAAAGUUCUUUGGAAUAGGACAUCAUAGAGGGUGAGAAUCCCGUAUUUGACCUUUACUUUCAACUUUGUGAUACACUUUCAAAGAGUCGGAUUGUUUGGGAAUGCAGUCCAAAAUGGGUGGUAAAUUUCAUCUAAAGCUAAAUAUUGGCGAGAGACCGAUAGCGAACAAGUACCGUGAGGGAAAGAUGAAAAGAACUUUGAAAAGAGAGUUAAACAGUACGUGAAAUUGUCAAAAGGGAAGCGUUUUGACACCAGUGUUGUUUUUCUGAAAAUCAAUUAAAGAACUGUUUAUGCUAAGCUGUUUAGACUUUAUCAGCUAACUGUUUAGUUUUGAGCUUUUCUUUAAUGCACUUUUCAGUUAACAAGUCAACAUCAAUUUCUUUUGCUGUAAAAAAGCUUGAGGAAGGUGGCUUGAGAUUCGUCUUAAGUGUUUAUAGCCUCUUGCCUAUGCAGUCGGAGAGAUUGAGGUCUGCAGCGUAGAUCCUUCGGGGCUAAAUGCAUUUGUGCUAAGUUAUAGCGUUUUAUAGACAACUUGUUGACUAUGAUUUGUCUUGUAGCUUACUCGCUUAUGUUAUUUUACCUACGCUUAGGAUGUUGAACGCGCACAGAGUCUC